rnacentral:rRNA from 1 species
CCUACGGGGGGCUGCAGUGAGGAAUAUUGGUCAAUGGGCGUAAGCCUGAACCAGCCAAGUCGCGUGAGGGAUGAAGGUUCUAUGGAUCGUAAACCUCUUUUAUAAGGGAAUAAAGUGUGGGACGUGUCCUGUUUUGUAUGUACCUUAUGAAUAAGGAUCGGCUAACUCCGUGCCAGCAGCCGCGGUAAUACGGAGGAUCCGAGCGUUAUCCGGAUUUAUUGGGUUUAAAGGGUGCGUAGGCGGCGUUUUAAGUCAGCGGUGAAAGUUUGUGGCUCAACCAUAGAAUUGCCGUUGAAACUGGGAGGCUUGAGUAUGUUUGAGGCAGGCGGAAGGCGUGGUGUAGCGGUGAAAUGCUUAGAUAUCACGAAGAACCCCGAUUGCGAAGGCAGCCUGCCAAGCCAUGACUGACGCUGAUGCACGAAAGCGUGGGGAUCAAACAGGAUUAGAUACCCCAGUAGUC